UAUUGUAGCUUGUCACUUUUGUGUGUGUGUAGAAGUCCUUCGUGCUAUUAAGUUGUUUUCAAUGAUGCGACUUCCAAAUCGACGAUUGGCUCCGUUAGACUUGAUCUACACUAUUAAAAGUAGUUGGAAACUGAAUUUUAUAAUUUUUCGGCAUCAUUUACCUAUCAAACAAGUAGCCUAAACACACACGAACGGCUGAAAAUAAAAAUCUCAUAAAAAAUAAUAAUAAAUGACUUGAAUUUAAGAUCACAGAUAUUGAUCUUACUUUGAAUAGUGAAAAAAAUUUUCUAUAAAAAUUUUAUCAGAUUUGAAUUGUUUUACAUCAUUAAAUUUACAAACGCUUCACAUCUACCAAUAAAGUUGUCAAUUUUGAGACCGUUUGAUCACUAGCCAAAUGAUGCCGAAAAAUUAUGAAAUUUAGUUUCCAAAUACUUUUAAUAGUGCAGAUCAAGUCUGAUGAAUCUGAUCGUCGAUUUGAAAGCCGCAUAAUUAAAAACAACUUAGUUGCACGGAGAUCCGAUCGUAUACCAGCCUAGCUCUCUCUAUAUAUAUAUAUAUAUAUAUAUAUAUAUAUAUAUAUAUUAAAAAAUAUAUUAAAGGUUUUUAU
rnacentral:lncRNA from 1 species